rnacentral:rRNA from 1 species
GCGCAGCAGGCGCGAAACCUUCGCAAUGCGGGAAACCGCGACGAGGGACUCCCAGUGCCUACGCUCAGCGUAGGCUGUUCCCGAGCCUAGAAAGCUCGGGGAGUAAGGGCUGGGUAAGACGGGUGCCAGCCGCCGCGGUAAUACCCGCAGCCCGAGUGGUGGCCACUAUUAUUGGGCCUAAAGCGUCCGUAGCCGGCCCGGUAAAUGCCUGGGUAAAUCGUGAGGCCUAACCUCACGAAUUCCGGGUAGACUGCCGGGCUAGGGACCGGAGGAGGGAGAGGGUACUCCAGGGGUAGGGGUGAAAUCCUGUAAUCCCUGGAGGACCACCGGUGGCGAAGGCGCUCUCCUAGGACGGGUCCGACGGUGAGGGACGAAAGCCAGGGGAGCGAACCGGAUUAGAUACCCCCGUAGU